rnacentral:tRNA from 1 species
GCCUGGGUGGCUCAGUCGGUUGAGCAUCUGACUUUGGCUCAGGUCAAAAUCUCAUGGUUUGUGAGUUCAAGCCCCACACUGGGCU